rnacentral:sRNA from 1 species
GCCCACUGCUGUCUACAAAUGAAUAGGAAGAUUUAAGAUCUUUCAAAGCAAGUUGAGUCUAGACCCUUACCCAAGUUUUGUAACAUGAUUUUGUCUCUUUCCCCCCUUUUCAUGCAGAUUAUCCAUGGAGUUAGCAUGCAGAUAGCAUGGAGUUUGUCUGAUAGAAGUUGGCUCUGGUGGAAGUACAGAAAUUGAAUGGUCAGGGAAAGAUAGAAUGCAGGUUUCUUAGGGAGUCUCUAUUAGGUUUCCAGCCUGCCUUCCUGGGAGUGGAAGAGAGAUGAGGUUGUGCCCUUCAAGGAGGAGCUUUACAGAGAUAAAGAAACUAAGCCCUAGAAGAGGAACUCUGCCAGUCUAUUUACAAAGCCUGCACUGAAAGCUAGACCAUAUACUCUUUGGAGAGGGAUGAUGUGACCAGCUCAUAGACUAGGGCCUAUACCAUGUAAUAGGUACUCAAACUUUUUAAAAAUAAAUGAAUCAAUGAAUGAAUGUCUUUAUGUAAUCGG